ACAGUACAAACUGAACAGGCCGGGAAUACCUGGAGCCGGGUCGCUUAUGCGACAGUGGAUUCACAUCUACGGGACAGU
rnacentral:ncRNA from 1 species